GACGAACGCUGGCGGCGUGCUUAACACAUGCAAGUCGAACGGAGUGGCGAACGGGUGAGUAACACGUGGGUGACCUGCCCUGCACUUCGGGAUAAGCCUGGGAAACUGGGACUAAUACCGGAUAGUGUGGGAUGGGCCCGCGGCUUAUCAGCUUGUUGGUGGGGUAAUGGCCUACCAAGGCGGCGACGGGUAGCCGGCCGGAGAGGGUGGACGGCCCCAGUGGGACUGGGACACGGCCCAGACUCCUACGGGGGGCAGCAGGGGGAAAUAUUGCACAGUGAUCGGGAGCCUGAUGCAGCGACGCCGCGUGGGUGAUGACGGCCUUCGGGUUGUAAACUCCUUUCACCAUCGACGCGGUAGAUGGAGAAGAAGCACCGGCUAACUACGUGCCAGCAGCCGCGGUAAUUC
rnacentral:rRNA from 1 species